AAAGUUAUCUUUGGGAAUCGAUUCUGUAUGUCAUCAAACAAACGUCCAACAAAAAAAUCAGUUAUUAUGGAGUUGUAGAAAAGUAUGUUCUCACAAUUUAAAAAAAAUUUUUGUCACAACCCAGCCAGAGAACUAAUAAGUAAAUAAACUUCUAUAUUUCUUUUCUAGUCACUUAACAAUUAUAAAAUUUAACAUUACCAAAGUUUCAAAGUUAAACAGGAGUUUUGUUUGAUAUGGAGAAGCAUAUUCUACAGAAAGGUAUUCUGGCCAAGUCUGGAACACUCGUUUGGGCGCUCGAACUCAUCGUGAAGGUGUUGAGCUUUGCAAAGACUUUGCUCAGGUGGUGUGUGUUGCAAAAAUUUCAUGGCUUACUAUAUUCUUGCAAAUUUGCAUAGAAAAUUUUAAGAAGCUGAAUUUCAGAAUCAGCAGUUGCUGAAAACUCGUGUUAACCUGGAAGCUGAUUUGAGAAGAAAUGCAAUGAAAUUUUUACUGAUUGAGAGAAUUUUAUGGGCAUGAGGCGCUCAUUUCCGGAGGGUAACUUUAUUAGGUAUUGAAAAUAGAUAGAACUUAUAUCCCCAGGCUGAUAAAAAGUGAAAACAAAUGGACCAAGCUAUUAAUACUAUAAAGAAGGCUAAUAGCGUUUUCGUUUGGUCGUCCGGGACUGUCCGGAAUCCUCACCAAACCCAAAAUUCAGAAUAAAAUAAAAUUCACGACUGGGGUCGCACGUACUUGCUCUUAUGCUUAAAGUUACUCUAAUGUUAAAGCUUUUUAUUCAAGAAAAUUAAGAAAAUUAAAAAUUUGAUAUUUUCAAGAAAUUAAAAAAAAUAAAAUCUGUUUUUAUAAUUAAUUAAAUACCGUUUUAAAAAACCAAGUAUGCAUGUUUACUUCUUGUAUAAAAAGGAAUUUUUAGAAAAAAAUUUUCGAAAAUCGU